GUAAUAACUUCCACUAUACAUAUACUAAGACUGGAACGAAGAUUAGCAUGGCCAAUGCGCAAGGAUAACACGGAAAUUUCUGAAGUGUUCUAUAUUCUG
rnacentral:snRNA from 1 species